rnacentral:misc_RNA from 1 species
AGAGGUUUCGCCGGCUGCGUG